GGAAGGGCCAUGGCUCAGUGGUAGAACGACUGAUUUGCAUCAGAAGGUCCCAUGUUCAAUCCAUGGCCUUGGUCCA